ACAGUCCAGGCUCGUAUUCCCUUUAGACUUUUGGUGCAUAAACAACAACCCUGUGGGAGGAUUGGCAAGACUAGAUUCCUUCUCAGACUGAUUCCCCAGGGUCGCUGGUGUUCCCAGGUGUCACAACCUGCCUGCAGAGCCCAGCCUACCUGCAGAGAGGACUGGAACCUCCUGCUGAACCUUGGAGGACAGGAACUGCCUGAUGAACUGCCUGCCUCCCUCUCUGGACUGUCAUCCCCUUGAGAGCAGAUCCUCCUGCCAAGCAUAUGGUCUGCAGCUGCUUGGCUCUGGAUGUAACCAUGGUGUGUGGCCACACCAGCACCAAUGGGACCCCCAAACUCUGCCUCUAUUCUGGACUGGAGGACUGCAAAACCACUUUGCAAAAGACACAAAUGAGAAAUUCUAUACUGAGGAAGGAUGAAAAGGUUUGGAUACAAGAAUGCAAUCUGCCACCAACUAUCAAGAGGAGACAAUAAAAAAGAACUUGGCCCUACCCAUGCUUAUGCCUGCACACUCUCCUACACUCUCCCUCCCUCCCUCCUGCUCCCCUAGAGGGACUCAAUUCCGAGGUGUAAAUACGCUUCCGAGUCUGCCCACCUCAGUGCUGCUGUGCAUGUCAGAUGAGAAGAUGCAGGGAUGGUGCCGCAGACGGGAACACACUCCAUGUGGGAAUGCACUCCAUGUGUGUGAAGCAUCACCUGACCCUGAUUCUGUGCUCAGGAAGAAGGAAGCUCCUGCUGGGUCCUGAAGUUUGUCAGUUUUCUAGUAAGCUUCCUUUUGUUCCUUCCCAAAGCUCUGCUCACCCCAGAAAAAAAUGUCAACACUU